CAUGGGUGCUACCAUGCAGUCGACGAACCUUCGGGUUAGUGGCGGACGGGUGAGUAACGCGUGAGAAUCUGCCCUCAGGAGGGGGAUAACGGCUGGAAACGGCCGCUAAUACCCCAUAUGCCGAGAGGUGAAAUGAAUUUCGCCUGAGGAUGAGCUCGCGUCUGAUUAGCUUGUUGGUGGGGUAAUGGCCUACCAAGGCAACGAUCAGUAGCUGGUCUGAGAGGAUGAUCAGCCACACUGGGACUGAGACACGGCCCAGACUCCUACGGGAGGCAGCAGUGGGGAAUUUUCCGCAAUGGGCGAAAGCCUGACGGAGCAACGCCGCGUGAGGGAUGAAGGCCUCUGGGCUGUAAACCUCUUUUAUCAAGGAAGAAGAUCUGACGGUACUUGAUGAAUAAGCCACGGCUAAUUCCGUGCCAGCAGCCGCGGUAAUACGGGAGUGGCAAGCGUUAUCCGGAAUCAUUGGGUUUAAAGGGUCCGUAGGCGGUUUUUUAAGUCAGAGGUGAAAUCCUGCAGCUCAACUGUAGAAUUGCCUUUGAUACUGAAAGACUUGAGUUAUUGUGAAGUGGUUAGAAUGUGUGGUGUAGCGGUGAAAUGCAUAGAUAUCACACAGAAUACCAAUUGCGAAGGCAGAUCACUAACAAUAUACUGACGCUCAGGGACGAAAGCGUGGGUAGCGAACAGGAUUAGAUACCCUGGUAGUCCACGCCGUAAACGAUGGAUACUAGCUGUAUGUCUACUUCAG
rnacentral:rRNA from 1 species